UUAAGCGACUAAGCGUACACGGUGGAUGCCCUGGCAGUCAGAGGCGAUGAAGGACGUGCUAAUCUGCGAUAAGCGCCGGUAAGGUGAUAUGAACCGUUAUAACCGGCGAUUUCCGAAUGGGGAAACCCAGUGUGACUCGUCACACUAUCAUUAACUGAAUCCAUAGGUUAAUGAGGCGAACCGGGGGAACUGAAACAUCUAAGUACCCCGAGGAAAAGAAAUCAACCGAGAUUCCCCCAGUAGCGGCGAGCGAACGGGGAGGAGCCCAGAGCCUGAAUCAGCAUGUGUGUUAGUGGAAGCGUCUGGAAAGGCGCGCGAUACAGGGUGACAGCCCCGUACACAAAAGCGCAUGUGCUGUGAGCUCGAUGAGUAGGGCGGGACACGUGGUAUCCUGUCUGAAUAUGGGGGGACCAUCCUCCAAGGCUAAAUACUCCUGACUGACCGAUAGUGAACCAGUACCGUGAGGGAAAGGCGAAAAGAACCCCGGCGAGGGGAGUGAAAAAGAACCUGAAACCGUGUACGUACAAGCAGUGGGAGCCCCACCACCAAAGCAUUCUCUGGUGUUGAAGGCCCUGCAAAGCAGCAUCGCGGUGGCGGAGCGUCGUUUGCGACGCCCAACACACAAAACAAGCGGUGAGUGCUUUGGGGUGGGGUGACUGCGUACCUUUUGUAUAAUGGGUCAGCGACUUAUAUUCUGUAGCAAGGUUAACCGAAUAGGGGAGCCGGAGGGAAACCGAGUCUUAAUUGGGCGUUAAGUUGCAGGGUAUAGACCCGAAACCCGGUGAUCUAGCCAUGGGCAGGUUGAAGGUUGGGUAACACUAACUGGAGGACCGAACCGACUAAUGUUGAAAAAUUAGCGGAUGACCUGUGGCUGGGGGUGAAAGGCCAAUCAAACCGGGAGAUAGCUGGUUCUCCCCGAAAGCUAUUUAGGUAGCGCCUCGUGAAUUCAUCUCCGGGGGUAGAGCACUGUUUCGGCUAGGGGGCCAUCCCGGCUUACCAACCCGAUGCAAACUGCGAAUACCGGAGAAUGUUAUCACGGGAGACACACGGCGGGUGCUAACGUCCGUCGUGAAGAGGGAAACAACCCAGACCGCCAGCUAAGGUCCCAAAGUCAUGGUUAAGUGGGAAACGAUGUGGGAAGGCCCAGACAGCCAGGAUGUUGGCUUAGAAGCAGCCAUCAUUUAAAGAAAGCGUAAUAGCUCACUGGUCGAGUCGGCCUGCGCGGAAGAUGUAACGGGGCUAAACCAUGCACCGAAGCUGCGGCAGCGACGCUGAUGCGUUGUUGGGUAGGGGAGCGUUCUGUAAGCCUGUGAAGGUGGCCUGUGAGGGUUGCUGGAGGUAUCAGAAGUGCGAAUGCUGACAUAAGUAACGAUAAAGCGGGUGAAAAGCCCGCUCGCCGGAAGACCAAGGGUUCCUGUCCAACGUUAAUCGGGGCAGGGUGAGUCGACCCCUAAGGCGAGGCCGAAAGGCGUAGUCGAUGGGAAACGGGUUAAUAUUCCCGUACUUGGUGUUACUGCGAAGGGGGGACGGAGAAGGCUAUGUUGGCCGGGCGACGGUUGUCCCGGUUUAAGCGUGUAGGUGUGUGUUCCAGGUAAAUCCGGUUCACUUUAACACUGAGGCGUGAUGACGAGGCACUACGGUGCUGAAGCAACAAAUGCCCUGCUUCCAGGAAAAGCCUCUAAGCAUCAGGUAACAUCAAAUCGUACCCCAAACCGACACAGGUGGUCAGGUAGAGAAUACCAAGGCGCUUGAGAGAACUCGGGUGAAGGAACUAGGCAAAAUGGUGCCGUAACUUCGGGAGAAGGCACGCUGACACGUAGGUGAAGUGAUUUACUCACGGAGCUGAAGUCAGUCGAAGAUACCAGCUGGCUGCAACUGUUUAUUAAAAACACAGCACUGUGCAAACACGAAAGUGGACGUAUACGGUGUGACGCCUGCCCGGUGCCGGAAGGUUAAUUGAUGGGGUCAGCGCAAGCGAAGCUCCUGAUCGAAGCCCCGGUAAACGGCGGCCGUAACUAUAACGGUCCUAAGGUAGCGAAAUUCCUUGUCGGGUAAGUUCCGACCUGCACGAAUGGCGUAAUGAUGGCCAGGCUGUCUCCACCCGAGACUCAGUGAAAUUGAACUCGCUGUGAAGAUGCAGUGUACCCGCGGCAAGACGGAAAGACCCCGUGAACCUUUACUAUAGCUUGACACUGAACAUUGAGCCUUGAUGUGUAGGAUAGGUGGGAGGCUUUGAAGUGUGGACGCCAGUCUGCAUGGAGCCGACCUUGAAAUACCACCCUUUAAUGUUUGAUGUUCUAACGUGGACCCGUAAUCCGGGUUGCGGACAGUGUCUGGUGGGUAGUUUGACUGGGGCGGUCUCCUCCUAAAGAGUAACGGAGGAGCACGAAGGUUGGCUAAUCCUGGUCGGACAUCAGGAGGUUAGUGCAAUGGCAUAAGCCAGCUUGACUGCGAGCGUGACGGCGCGAGCAGGUGCGAAAGCAGGUCAUAGUGAUCCGGUGGUUCUGAAUGGAAGGGCCAUCGCUCAACGGAUAAAAGGUACUCCGGGGAUAACAGGCUGAUACCGCCCAAGAGUUCAUAUCGACGGCGGUGUUUGGCACCUCGAUGUCGGCUCAUCACAUCCUGGGGCUGAAGUAGGUCCCAAGGGUAUGGCUGUUCGCCAUUUAAAGUGGUACGCGAGCUGGGUUUAGAACGUCGUGAGACAGUUCGGUCCCUAUCUGCCGUGGGCGCUGGAGAACUGAGGGGGGCUGCUCCUAGUACGAGAGGACCGGAGUGGACGCAUCACUGGUGUUCGGGUUGUCAUGCCAAUGGCACUGCCCGGUAGCUAAAUGCGGAAGAGAUAAGUGCUGAAAGCAUCUAAGCACGAAACUUGCCCCGAGAUGAGUUCUCCCUGAGACUUAAAGUCUCCUGAAGGAACGUUGAAGACGACGACGUUGAUAGGCCGGGUGUGUAAGCGCAGCGAUGCGUUGAGCUAACCGGUACUAAUGAACCGUGAGGCUUAACCUU
rnacentral:rRNA from 1 species